UGCCUCAUUUACAUCUUGUCUCCCUUUUCAGAAACAGCAGCUUCAUCUUCCCCUCUGAUCCCCUACAAGGUGCUCUGCUAGGGCACAAUCUUCUUCCAUCCCGAGUUAACAAAAAUCGACCCUGUACCUCCUGCUCACUGCUCUAGCCCUUGGAGCUGAAAUACUUCUUAGUUGCGAGUUUAUUUCGUUUUAGCAUCUAAGCAAGGAGCAGAUGAGAGGGAGGUUCAAGCUGGAUCUGAGAAACGGAGUGGUGCGGCCUAGAUUCCCUGUCUGGAUGUCUUAGGAGUAGUUUCAUGGCCAUGAGGCCUUUUGUAUUAGUUGCCUUGAGGGCAACCCUUUUGCAAGACUGUCAAACUUUAAAAAAUUUCCUUUUGCUUAGGGCUAUGUGGUAUGCCUAAGUUUCCUUUUAAGUACUUCAGGAUGACUGUAAUAGUUACCUUUCGUACGCUUCAUGUUCAUCUGAGUGUUUCUCGUUAUUAUGAUUGUGUGAUGUUUUAUUUAGUAGUGUAAUCUAUUAAAAUGGGAUGUCACAUUUAGCUUGUGUUAUUCUGAU